CGUUGCUGCCCUCUUUGGGCGUUUCCUCCCUAGACUUGGGCCACACCUCGCGUGUGGCCUUUUUUCUUCGGUGCG
rfam:Methylobacterium tarhaniae strain DSM 25844 contig_178, whole genome shotgun sequence.